rnacentral:rRNA from 1 species
UACGGAGGGUGCAAACGUUGCUCGGAAUCAUUGGGCGUAAAGCGCACGUAGGCGGUCCAGCAAGUCGUGUGUGAAAGCCCCCGGCUCAACUGGGGAGGGUCACUCGAUACUGAUCGACUCGAAGGCAUGAGAGGGAAGCGGAAUUCCCGGUGUAGUGGUGAAAUGCGUAGAUAUCGGGAGGAACACCAGUGGCGAAGGCGGCUUUCUGGCCUGUUCUUGACGCUGAGGCGCGAAAGCUAGGGUAGCAAACGGG